AUAGAUGUCACAGAUUUGAAAUACAAGUUUCAGCUCAAGGUUCUUUAUUUCCUACCAAUAAUUGAUAAUAACAGCUAAUACGUAUGGUGUUUAACGUGUGUCAGAUGCUGUCGCAAGUGCUUUACAUAUAUUAACUACUUUAAUCCUCAAAACAAACUAAGGUGUAGUUCCUGUUCACAAGGCACUGUAUUCAGUAUUUUAGUACGACUGUCUCAUGAAUCCUCUCAUCAGCCCUAUGGAGUAGGUAAUAUCCCUCUAUAGUUG
rnacentral:lncRNA from 10 species